UGAAAAUUUCGGGAAUUAACGAAGUGAC
rnacentral:sRNA from 1 species